AGGAAGAGAUGCAGGGAUAAGGGAGGGGAGGGACAGGACAGAGCAGGUGGGGUGUGAGAACACUGGCCGUCAGCCGCAGUCACACUUCACGCGUGGUCAAAUGAAAAGCCACCACGCUCAGAUUGCACUGGCACCGAAACAGACUUGUUGAGUGACAGAAAAUGAGACACUGUGACAGGAUACACUGUAUUAGAUGAGACAAAGCAAAGAACAUAAGCUUGUGUUUAUUCAGUUCCAUAAAGGGAAAUGUUCCAGAAUUGUUUUGGUUCCUUUUUUUUUGGGGGGGGGGGGUCUGGUUCUUUCUCUUACGUUAUUAUAAUAGGAUAUGAGAGACAGUAUAAGGGGCUAUUAGCAUAUAAAUUAUGGAUCGAGUGAUUAUGGUAUUUUGCGAUUCGUGUUGCAGUCUGGUCUUUAGUAUUUUUGAGGCUCGUAACUGCAUGGCCCUCUGUCUCACUCACAAGACAGACAUAUGCAUGUGGUGUGGGAAGCCUAUUAGGCGCAGCAAGGAUUGCGGGAGACGGAGCGCUAGAGCCUCGCCCGCAUGUUGCAGGCAUGUGACUCGUGUCUCGUCUCCUUGGGAAAGAAGCACGUCUCUUCCGCUCACAACUUCAGGGUCUCAGGGAAGAAAUCUGGCCCCCUUUCAAGAUGACUGGUUUGGGAUUACUGUACCACAGACUCUUUCUUUGUUCCUCCAGGCAAUUUCUCUCGGAUUUCCUUAGGUAGCCCACGGACUGUUUUUCUAGAAAUCCCUUAGCGUUAAUUGAACAUGACCAGAAGCAUCUGGCUGUCGUCUCCUUCAUAGGGAAUUGCACUGAGAGAGUCUCUCUCUAGCUACCGCUCUUCCCGUCACACUGCAUCUCAUUUAGCUGCGAGUCUGCUGUUUGCUUCCCUACUGACGUGGGGAACUUGUUACGGGAGCGAGAGAAGGACCGGGGACACACUGCAACGCCCUCUAAAGCAGGCAUAGUGUCCCGGUCCCAGUGUCAACCCCUCCUGAAGGUCAUGCAUUGUAAUGACUGCACAGUUAACUAGCGAAUGCAUCCAGCUUGCAAAGGCCAAUCAUAUAAGAUGAUUGACAGGAUGACUCCAUGUCUACUUGGCCAGCUUAUACCUGCUGAUCCGGCCUGAUUUUUCAUAGCACCUGCUUUCCCCCUGAAAAGUGACCUGGUUCUGACACUAAGUUAGAAGGUCAUCCUAAGUGUGGAUGGACAUGCUAGCUCUCUAGGUAGCUACCUGAACUGUCUUCACCUUGAGGGGCAAAGCCAGGAGGCUGGGUAGAUGUAGGUACCAGGUACCAGGCAGUUAACCUGAUUUGUUUUCUACUUUUCAUUUAUCCUGCGGACACUUAGCAUAACUUGUUUUAAAAGGUGGAAAGCACUUGAGUGUUCUCCCCUUUAUGCGUAAUCCAGAGCAGUGUGUUCUCCAGCUGGGCAGGACUGCAUCUCAUUACUUUUCAGUCCUCCAUCUUGUACUAUAUAAGUUCAACUAAUGUUUGUCCCAUGUUGGAUGGAUGAGGAAAUGCUGCUGAAUAAUGAAUGGCUGGGUGGAUACCUACAGAGGCGGGAAAGCAAGCCAGUUACCUUCUGACGUCUGCCUCGGAGAAGGAGACUCUGGGUAACGUACUUUGUAAAGAGGAGGCGAAUUCCGCCCCCCCCCCCAUACUGAGGCUCUAGUUAAGGGCGGUCAGGCCCACUUUUGACAAAAGUGAAGGGGUCCUUUGACAGUGAUGUUUCUGUGUCCCUCCUCUAUGGUUCAUGUCUUUUUUUUUUUCCAGAAGGCUAAGAAUAAACCUCCUCUCUGACAUAUUUUUUUUUUCUUAAUAAAAUAGUGCUAAUUCCAAUAUUCCCAACAUAGACCUAGAGAUAUUAGUAGUGGGAAGAUAUUUUAAAAUAUUAAAAUUAAUGUCUCCUUUUCAUGUCUAUUCAGUAGGGUCAAACAGAAAUUCCCCAAAGAGAAUUUAUACCCAGAAAAUGGAAUUCAGGUAGUCAAACAAUAUGGCUAAGUGAAUUUGCUUUAAGGAACUGAAAUAAAAAAAUGUGAAAAUUCUGUUGGGGCACAGUUCGAGUGGACAUAUUCUUCUUUAAGAGCGGCAGUGCACUGCUGUAACCUCCCCUGGGUAGACACUGCCAGAUCACUCACAGAUGAUAAUAAUUACACUCAACAGAACAGUAGCUGGUUUUGUCCGCACUGGGGAGAGGAGCACCUCAGUGAAAUGGUGCUAAUCCGCAGGAGACUAAGAAAAGGAGGUGGGGAUCGGGGAGGGGGUAGGGUAGCAGGGGUGGAGGGACCUUUGGCAAACUGUUAAGAAAUAUAAAUUCAGCUACGUUUUAUUGCUAACAUAUUUUGAAAGAGACUUUGAGUGAGACUUUUGCAUACAACUGUUUUUAAACCUGCUACAGAGAAGCAUCGAAUGGAAACUGAAAUGAUCAAAAACGUAUUUACCCCCUUCUGUGAUCUUAUUAUUUCAUGUAAACCACUGAGAUUUCACGCUGAAAUAAUUAUCAUUAGUCCAAGGCACACACGCAAGAACAGGAGAAAAGCUACUUUCAGGGUAUGUGAUCUCACCUUUGUGAGCCUUUCCAUUGGGUCGCACGCAGGCAUUGUCAGAGAAACUACUUCAAUUAA